GGGGGUGUAGCUCAGUUGGUAGAGCGCUUGAAUGGCAUUCAAGAGGUCAGGGGUUCGAUUCCCCUUACCUCCA
rnacentral:tRNA from 1 species